rnacentral:rRNA from 1 species
CAGCCGCCGCGGUAAUACCGGCGGCCCGAGUGGCGGCCACUAUUAUUGGGCCUAAAGCGUCCGUAGCCGGGCUGGUAAGUCCCCCGGGAAAUCUGGCGGCUUAACGGUCAGAAUGCCGGAGGAUACUCCCAGCCUAGGGAGCGGGAGAGGCCGAGGGUAUUCCCGGAGUAGGGGUGAAAUCCUAUAAUCCCGGGAGGACCACCUGUGGCGAAGGCGCUCGGCUGGAACGCGUCCGACGGUGAGGGACGAAGGCCAGGGGAGCAAACCGGAUUAGAUACCCGGGUAGUCCUGGCUGUAAACGAUGCGGACUUUGUGUCGGACAAGCUAUGAGCUUGUCCGGUGCCGGAGGGAAACCGUUAAGUCCGCCGCCUGGGGAGUACGGCCGCAAGGCUGAAACUUAAAGGAAUUGGCGGG